rnacentral:rRNA from 1 species
GACGAACGCUGGCGGCGUGCUUAACACAUGCAAGUCGAACGGAAAGGCCCUGCUUUUGUGGGGUGCUCGAGUGGCGAACGGGUGAGUAACACGUGAGUAACCUGCCCUUGACUUUGGGAUAACUUCAGGAAACUGGGGCUAAUACCGGAUAGGAGCUCCUGCCGCAUGGUGGGGGUUGGAAAGUUUCGGCGGUUGGGGAUGGACUCGCGGCUUAUCAGCUUGUUGGUGGGGUAGUGGCUUACCAAGGCUUUGACGGGUAGCCGGCCUGAGAGGGUGACCGGCCACAUUGGGACUGAGAUACGGCCCAGACUCCUACGGGAGGCAGCAGUGGGGAAUAUUGCACAAUGGGCGGAAGCCUGAUGCAGCAACGCCGCGUGCGGGAUGACGGCCUUCGGGUUGUAAACCGCUUUCGCCUGUGACGAAGCGUGAGUGACGGUAAUGGGUAAAGAAGCACCGGCUAACUACGUG